rnacentral:rRNA from 1 species
GGCGAACGGGUGAGUAACACGUGAGUAACCUGCCCUUGACUUUGGGAUAACUUCAGGAAACUGGGGCUAAUACCGGAUAGGAGCUCCUGCUGCAUGGUGGGGGUUGGAAAGUUUCGGCGGUUGGGGAUGGACUCGCGGCUUAUCAGCUUGUUGGUGGGGUAGUGGCUUACCAAGGCUUUGACGGGUAGCCGGCCUGAGAGGGUGACCGGCCACAUUGGGACUGAGAUACAGCCCAG